GAUGAACGCUGGCGGCGUGCCUAAUACAUGCAAGUCGAGCGAACAGACUAGGAGCUUGCUCCUCUGACGUUAGCGGUGGCCGGGUGAGUAACACGUGGAUAACCUACAUAUAAGACUGGGUUAACUUCGGGCAACCUGAGCUAAUACCGGCUAAUACAUUGAACCGCAUGGUUCCAUCGUGCAUGACGGUUUUUCUGUCACUUAUAGAUGGACUCGCGCCGCUUCACCUAGUAGGUAAGGUAACGGCUUACCAAGGCACCGAUGCGUAGCGGACCUGAGAGGGGGGUCGGCCACACGGGAAGUGAGACACAGUACAGACUCCUACGGUGGGCAGCAGUAGGGAAUCUUCCGCGAUGGGCGAAAGCCUGACGGAGCAACACCGCGGGAGUGAUGAAGGUCUUCGGAUCGUAAAGCGAUGUUAUUAGGGAAGAACAAAUGUGUAAGUAACUAUGCACAUCUUGACGGUACCUAAACAGAAAGCCACGGCUAACUACGUG
rnacentral:rRNA from 1 species